CUGCCAGUGUUCAUAAUAUUUCUUCUAAUACUCUGGACCAACAGGUCAUUCCAGAGAGUUUGGAGAUGCCCGUGUUUGCUUCCUUGCUUCUCGUUCUUCCGUCACAUUUUUGAGGCAUUUUUAGUUGGUCUGCUGUGGAUUGCUUUUGUGUUCAUCGAUGGAGACUGGUACCUUUGCUGUCUGAAUGAUCAUUCUGAACAACAGGCACCGUUAGCCUGCAAAUCUGCCGGGAAGAUCACUGAGAAGGAACAAGCCAUCAUUGCUGACCUGAAAAACACGUCCAGGGUUAUUGGUGGCAUUUUACUCUUUUUCAUCAUUUUCUUUGCCGGCCUUACGUCACUGUUUCGAGGCUGUGAAACAUCAAGAAGAUUUCUCUACAACCAGCUGAUUUUAGAGGAGGAGGAAAAUGUACUGAAAGAGAUUUUGGGGAAAUCUGCAAAAGAACAGCUGACUAAAGAAAUCGAAGACAAGAUAUGUGGUGAACAUUGGGAAGAGUGUUUUCAUGUUGCUAGAGAACUGAUUGAAGCAUCGACUAAACCAGAGAUUUGUGAACAAGAGGGACGACAACAACAAAGAGCACGAGCAACAAGGAGCCAGUUUACCAAUGGAGGACAGACAUCUGGAGCAGCAACAGCAACACAGGUCAGCUUAUGUCCUAAUGCCACCUCCAUCACCUCUAUCACCUCCAUCACCUCCAUCAGCAGCAUGAUAAUAUAAAAACAAGGGAGAAACAAAAAAGAGGGAAUAUGAUCAUGAAACAACAGACUGAAUAGAACAAGUUCAUUUAAUUUUAAUUCAAUUCUUUUCUUUCUGGAAAUCAAACUUUUAAUUUUAUGAAACCAUUUGUAGAUGGAAGAAAUUGAACUUCAAUCCACGGAGACAAAGG